CCAGUUUCACAACCUGUCCACCACCAUACUCAUGCUAUCAUCAGAAAACGUAAUAUCAAUCUGAAACUCACCAUCCUACAAGCUUUUAUUUCUGGAGUUUUGAGAAGAUAUGGAUUGACUGAUCAAUCUGGACUUUACCUGACUGGCAGAUACUGCAUUUUCUAUCAGUAAGAGUAUAUGAUACGGAACGGAUGCAUUAUGUAUAUGUCACUGACCAGAUCUUGCGCCUGGUUCCAAACAUUGAGGGUGUGGUGCGGUUUUGGGCCAAGCAAAGUGGAGUAUACUCUAAUGUCUGUGGAUUCCUUAUGUCAACUUUAACCUAACGCACUCCCAAAUAUGAUCCCUCGGUCUUCAAGUUUGGGAUCCUAGAAGAAAGGACCAAUUGCACAUGAUGCCCAUCAUUACUUCUGUUCAUCCUUGUAUGAACUCUAGUAAUAAUGUCUAUGCAAGUACAUUGCGGAUUAUGACUGGAGAGUUUCAGAGAGGCGAAGAUAUAUGUGAGGCUAUGGGAGCAAACAAAGCUGAUUGAGAUACCCUUUUUGAGCCAUUUGCAUUAUUUGAAGCUUAUGAAAACUUUAUUGCUUAUAAAAACUUUCUUCGGAUAGACAUCUCUGCCGCAAAUAUCAAUGAUUUAAGAAAAUUGAAAGGUUGUGUUGAGUCAUGUCUCGGACAGCUCACACUGAAGGUGACAACUCUUGUUUAUUCUCAAUUGAUAUAAAAGGGUAUUUGGUUAUUGGUUACUUGGAUAUAUACGUAUAUUUAGUAGAUUGAGAGAGACAUACUUACGACAUGCUUCAAUGCCACUCUUCAUCACACAAUCUUCAAGACGUAUCCCUGACCACUAUUGCUUUUUUUUCUUCUACACCAAGUGCAGCUACUGUUACUAAUGAAGCUAGUUCUGAAAGUAAAGGUGGUUCUAACAGUUCCGGAGAUGAGAAGAUGAUGAGACACUCACAGAUCAGUUAAAGAACUCCAAACACGUUGAUUUUUCAGUGCCUUUAGAAAAUGGUCAAGGCUGGAGCCCGAAUCCAUCUGAUGGAUCCAUUUGUUCAAGUCCUAUGAAAGAUUAUUGUACAAAUGGUAAAUCUGAUUCCAUCAGUAAGGAUCCACCAAAGACUGUUGUCGUUCUCAGUAAAGACACACCAGAGAGUCAGCCAAUUGAGAAGAUAGGCACUACUCUACUCCUCAAGCUCCCAAUCAAGAAACAGAGGAGCUUGAAGACAGCGUUGAUUUUGGAAAUCAAGUUAUUGAGCGAAUUUCUAAUAAAUACAGCAAUCUCGAAUACUACUGCAAUUAUUCCUCUAAAUGGUUCAUCAUUCUCUAAUGGAGGACUCGAAGAAUUCGAGAUUCUUUAUAUUUUUCUAAGACAGUUUUGAUCUUGUUCUUGUCUGAUUAUUUUCUUUAAUCUUAAUGGUUCUUCCAAUGCGAGGUGACGCAUAGAGCUUCAGUACACAGCCAAAGCCGAUAAUCAGGUUGGGCGCUGUUUGUUCCCCGAAAGCAGAGGAUAGCCACUGCUCAAGCUCCUAGUCAAGAAACAGAGGAGCUUGAAGACAGUUUUGAUUUUGGACAUCUUGUGACAGAGCAGAUUUCAAAUAAAGACGCAAUCUCGACGGCUACUGCAACUAUACCUCCAUUCUUUGCUACUACCUCUAAUAGAGCACUGGAAGAACUCGAGGUUCUUUUUGUUAUGAUUAAUUUCGAUACUCAUACUGUUGUCUGAUUUUUUUUUCUCUUUUAAUUCGUAUUCUUCCAAAGUUCCAAUGCUACAGCCCGAGGAGUUGCAUAGCGCUUCAGUGCAACAACGGAAACGGAUAAUCAAGUAUGUGGUUCGUAUAUUAGAUUUGACAAUGUUUACUUGCUCUUUUGUUGGCAGGUUAAAGUUCUCGUCUCUAGGCAAAACCAUCGGCAAGUAAUAAUGGUGUUUUUGCCUACAUGGCUAGAAUCUCUGAGCUUAUAAAAACUCAAGACGUCAAGUUGAAGGUUUUUUUUUUUUUUUUUUUUGAAGGGUUCUUCUUACUUUCUGUGAAAGAAGAUUUUUAUAUUAUAUGCUUUUCUUUGAUGUUAAAAGCUUUUAGUUCGAUGUAAAACACGUUCGGACAAGAAUUAUGUAAUGUCUCUCGUCUAUGUCCUGAAAAGUCUUCCAACUUCACAGAAAUAAAAUAGCAUCAAUAUACUAUACUAAAAGGUUAAUAAGAUCAAA